GAUGAAGAACGUAGCGAAAUGCGAUAAGUAAUGCGAAUUGCAGAAUUCAGUGAGUCAUCGAAUCUUUGAACGCACAUUGCGCCCUGUGGUAUUCCGCAGGGCAUGCCUGUUCGAGCGUCAUUUCAACCCUCAAGCUCUGCUUGGUGUUGGGCCCUGCCCGCUGCGGCCGGCCCUAAAGACAGUGGCGGUGCCGCCUGGCCCUGAGCGUAGUACAUCUCUCGCUCCAGUGCCCGGUGGUAGCCUGCCAGAACCCCAACUCUGGUGGUUGACCUCGGAUCAGGUAGGGAUACCCGCUGAACUUAAGCAUAUCAAUAAGCGGAGGA
rnacentral:misc_RNA from 1 species